ACUCCGGUGGAUAGAGAUGGGCACGCGCAAGAUUAGAUAGUUGGUGAGGUAACGGCUCACCAAGUCUGCGAUCUUUAGGGGGCCUGAGAGGGUGAUCCCCCACACUGGUACUGAGACACGGACCAGACUCCUACGGGAGGCAGCAGUGAKGAAUAUUGGACAAUGGGUGAGAGCCUGAUCCA
rnacentral:rRNA from 1 species